UUGUCCUACGGGGGGCAGCAGUGAGGAAUAUUGGUCAAUGGCCGCAGGGCUGAACCAGCCAAGUCGCGUGAGGGAUGACGGUCCUAUGGAUUGUAAACCUCUUUUGUCAGGGAGCAAAGGGCGCCACGUGUGGCGUUUUGCGAGUACCUGAAGAAAAAGCAUCGGCUAACUCCGUGCCAGCAGCCGCGGUAAUACGGAGGAUGCGAGCGUUAUCCGGAUUUACUGGGUGUAAAGGGUGCGUAGGCGGCCCUGCAAGUCAGAAGUGAAAUCCAUGGGCUUAACCCGUGAACUGCUUUUGAAACUGU
rnacentral:rRNA from 1 species